GCAGUGGUUGUUCAGAGGUAGAAUUCUCACCUUUCAUGUGGGAGACCCUGGUUCACUUCCUGGCCAAUGCA
rnacentral:tRNA from 1 species